CUCCAUUCUCGGUCUUUUGGGUAAGAUCAAGCAUAGUAUCUGCAUAUGUUCUUAUCAGUUUGAUAUCUGAUAUGUCUUCUAUUUGAGGACACAAUAUUAAAUGGAUUGGAACUAAGAGAUGGAGCUUGCCUCAUCCACUCCACACAUCCACCUAGCGUUGCAGUACCUCCAGGAACAGCAUACCCCCG